UUUAAGGUGGCUGAAUUUAGGCAGUUGGCUGUAAACCAACUUAUGAGAGUACCCUCCCUUUUAA
rnacentral:tRNA from 1 species